rnacentral:rRNA from 1 species
UACAGAGGUCUCAAGCGUUGUUCGGAUUCAUUGGGCGUAAAGGGUGCGUAGGUGGCGCCGUAAGUCAGGUGUGAAAUUUCGGAGCUCAACUCCGAAACUGCAUUUGAUACUGCGGUGCUUGAGGACUGGAGAGGAGACUGGAAUUCACGGUGUAGCAGUGAAAUGCGUAGAUAUCGUAAGGAAGACCAGUGGCGAAGGCGGGUCUCUGGACAGUUCCUGACGCUGAGGCACGAAGGCCAGGGGAGCAAACGGG